rnacentral:rRNA from 1 species
AUUAAAGUUGUUGCGGUUAAAAAGCUCGUAGUUGGACUUUGGGGUCGAGCGUUACAGACCCUCUCGGUUCUGCCGGGGGGAAUCAGUCUGGAUGUUUCUUCCUCUUUCUCGGAACGUUAACAGGGGUUCAUGGUUCGCCAUGUUCUCUUGGUUUCGCAGGAUUUACUUUGAAUAAAUUAGGGUGUUCAAAGCAGGCGCAACUCGCCUUGAAUACAUUAGCAUGGGAUAAUAGAAUAUGACCUUUGGUCUACUUAUUGGUUUCUAAGGCCAAGGUAAUGAUUAAUAGGGAUAGUUGAGGUCGCUCGUAUUCAAUGGUCAGAGGUGAAAUUCUAAGACCCAUUGAGGACGAACAAAUGCGAAGGCAUUCGACAAGGAUGUUUUCAUUAAUCAAGAACGAAAGUUGUGGGAUCGAAGAUGAUUAGAUACCGUCGUAGUCACAACCGUAAACUAUGUCGACUCAGGAUCCGGGGAUGUUACAUGGAUGACUCUCCGGGCACUGUGUGCGAAAGCAUAAGUAUUCUGACUCCGGGGGGAGUAUGGUCGCAAGGCUGAAACUUAAAGGAAUUGACGGAAGGGCACCACCAGGAGUGGAACCUGCGGCUUAAUUUGACCCAACACGGGGAAACUUACCCAGUCCGGACACAACGAGGAUUGACAGAUUGAUAGCUCUUUCUUGAUUUUGUGGAAGUCGGUGCAUGGCCGUUUUUAGUUGGUGGAGUGAUUUGUCUGGUUUAGUCCGAUAACGAACGAGACCAUAAUCUGCUAAAUAGUGUCGUUAACAAGGAGACUUACGGGGCGGUCGGGUUUACUCGGCAGUUUCGUGGGUUUCCACUAAAUUGUUGGCGAAAGAUUUACUCCUUAGAGAGACUCUUGAUGAUGCAAAAAUCAAUGGAAGAAUAUGGCAAAAACAGGUCUGUGAUGCCGCUCGAUGUCUGGGGCUGCACGCGCGUUACACUGAGAUGUUCAACAAGUAUUAUUCAUGACCAGGCCCGAAGGGGUUCAGGUAAUCUCGAAAGCAUUUCGUGAUGGGGAUUGUGCCUUGAAACUAUUGCACAUGAACGAGGAAUUCCUAGUAAGGGUAGGUCAUCAACCUGCCCUGAUUACGUCCCUGCCCUUUGUACACACCGCCCGUCGCUUCUACCGAUCGAAUUGCUCGAUGAGGACUCGGGAUGAGGGGGUAACUCGUAGGCUGAAAGGUCUGCGCGUCCUCUUCAGAACCU